rnacentral:rRNA from 1 species
UACGUAGGGUGCAAGCGUUGUCCGGAAUUAUUGGGCGUAAAGAGCUCGUAGGCGGUCUGUCGCGUCGGGUGUGAAAACCCAGGGCUCAACCCUGGGCCUGCAUUCGAUACGGGCAGACUAGAGUUCGGUAGGGGAGACUGGAAUUCCUGGUGUAGCGGUGAAAUGCGCAGAUAUCAGGAGGAACACCGGUGGCGAAGGCGGUUCUCUGGGCAUGACCUGACGCUGAGGAGCGAAAGUGUGGGGAGCGAACAGG